rnacentral:rRNA from 1 species
AUGUCUGCUUUGAAUUUGGUGUACUUGCUUCUAAAAUUGGUAUUGAUUCUACCGGUGGCAACAACAAAUGUUGAGAGAGCAUUUUCUGCUGUGAGUAUAGUUAAGAACAAGUUGAGAAAUAAGAUGGGUGAUAGUCUUUUGGAUGAUUGCCUAGUCACAUACAUUGAGAGGGAUGCUUUUGCCGAGGUGAAUGAAGAUGAUAUAAUUGAUACUUUCAUGGCAAGGCAAAAUCGUAGGCCAAAAACAUAG